rnacentral:rRNA from 1 species
UCCGUAGGCGGGCGUCUAAGUCAGUGGUGAAAUCUUACAGCUCAACUGUAAAAUUGCCAUUGAUACUGGAUGUCUUGAAUUAGUGUGAAGUGGUUAGAAUGUGUAGUGUAGCGGUGAAAUGCAUAGAUAUUACACAGAAUACCAAUUGCGAAGGCAGAUCACUAACACUAUAUUGACGCUGAGGGACGAAAGCGUGGGGAGUGAACAGGAUUAGAUACCCUGGUAGUCC